rnacentral:rRNA from 1 species
UACGUAGGGUGCAAGCGUUAAUCGGAAUUACUGGGCGUAAAGCGUGCGCAGGCGGUGAUGUAAGACAGGUGUGAAAUCCCCGGGCUUAACCUGGGAACUGCAUUUGUGACUGCAAGGCUGGAGUACGGUAGAGGGGGAUGGAAUUCCGCGUGUAGCAGUGAAAUGCGUAGAUAUGCGGAGGAACACCGAUGGCGAAGGCAAUCCCCUGGACCUGUACUGACGCUCAUGCACGAAAGCGUGGGGAGCAAACGGG